rnacentral:rRNA from 1 species
CCUACGGGCGGCAGCAGUGAGGAAUAUUGGUCAAUGGACGCGAGCCUGAACCAGCCAAGUAGCGUGAAGGAUGACUGCCCUAUGGGUUGUAAACUUCUUUUAUAUGGAAAUAAAGUGUGCCACGUGUGGCUUUUUGUAUGUAUUAUAUGAAUAAGGAUCGGCUAACUCCGUGCCAGCAGCCGCGGUAAUACGGAGGAUCCGAGCGUUAUCCGGAUUUAUUGGGUUUAAAGGGAGCGUAGAUGGAUUGUUAAGUCAGUUGUGAAAGUUUGCGGCUCAACCGUAAAAUUGCAGUUGAUACUGGCAGUCUUGAGUACAGUAGAGGUAGGCGGAAUUCGUGGUGUAGCGGUGAAAUGCUUAGAUAUCACGAAGAACUCCGAUUGCGAAGGCAGCCUACUGGACUGCAACUGACAUUGAGGCUCGAAAGUGUGGGUAUCAAACAGGAUUAGAUACCCUUGUAGUC